rnacentral:rRNA from 1 species
GUGAACGCUGGCGGUAGGCCUAACACAUGCAAGUCGAACGGCAGCACAGUAAGAGCUUGCUCUUACGGGUGGCGAGUGGCGGACGGGUGAGGAAUACAUCGGAAUCUACUUUUUCGUGGGGGAUAACGUAGGGAAACUUACGCUAAUACCGCAUACGACCUACGGGUGAAAGCAGGGGAUCUUCGGACCUUGCGCGAUUGAAUGAGCCGAUGUCGGAUUAGCUAGUUGGCGGGGUAAAGGCCCACCAAGGCGACGAUCCGUAGCUGGUCUGAGAGGAUGAUCAGCCACACUGGCACUGAGACACGGUCCAGACUCCUACGGGAGGCAGCAGUGGGGAAUAUUGGACAAUGGGCGCAAGCCUGAUCCAGCCAUACCGCGUGGGUGAAGAAGGCCUUCGGGUUGUAAAGCCCUUUUGUUGGGAAAGAAAAGCAGCAGGUUAAUACCCCGCUGUUCUGACGGUACCCAAAGAAUAAGCACCGGCUAACUUCGUG